CAUGUGGAAGCAAAUCGAAACAAUGGUCCGCACUCAAGAGUGUUUCGGUUUCGCGGGUUUCGCUCUGGCGCAAGCAAGCAAUGUAUCGCAUCCUGCGUGGGUUUGAAAAGCUGGACGCCAUUGACGAUUUUUUCAGAGAAUCACACCUUUCGAAGGGCCAGUUACUAGUCAAUGUUUUCGGCGUCGACGAAGCAUCGGACGGUAACGAAAUCGUCGUUAAAGCGAAGUGAAUUUCGGAAUAAGUGAAGGACAGCCUGGUUUAUAACGUCCGGUUCGAGGUGUCCAAGUGCCCGUGAACAGUUUAUGUUGCGUCGUGUAUACCUGUAAAGCGGGAAUUGCGGGAAAAUGUAAGCACGCGGCAGCAGUGUGCUGCUACCUGAACAAGGAAGAAGACGCGACAUGUACGGGACAACCACAAAACAGGGGCAAGCCAAGCUCAAAGCCGCAAGCGUGACAUGACAAAGGGUAUCGCCGACUUAUUUCCGAGCACGUAUAUGUAUAAUGUGGACAGCGUGCUUUCCUUUAGACAGGAGCUUGGGUGCAGACCUUUCAUAUUGUAUAUUUUUAGAACUGAUGAGGCUACAGUCAUCUCUGCUGCAUCGUUGAUCAUUUGCCAAUGAUCUUUCUCUACUGAAUGCUGCUGCUGUACCCGGCUGCAUCGUUGAUCGUUGGCUAUUCUGUUAAUGGUAAUUCUUCACUCUUCAGCAUUUUAUAUGUUUCAUCAACCAGUAUUGUACCGUGUACCCAGUACGGUGCCUCAAAGCAAUGCUUUAUUGCUCUUGGUAAUAAACAGCUUGCAUCUGGA